GAUGAACGCUAGCGGCAGGCUUAAUACAUGCAAGUCGUGGGGCAGCAGGUUUGUAGCAAUACAGAUGCUGGCGACCGGCAAACGGGUGCGGAACACGUACAGAACCUUCCUUUGAGCGGGGAAUAGCCCAGAGAAAUUUGGAUUAAUACCCCAUAGUAUAAUGAAGUGGCAUCACUUUAUUAUUAAAGAUUUAUCACUCGAAGAUGGCUGUGCGGCUGAUUAGGUAGUUGGCGGGGUAAAGGCCCACCAAGCCUGCGAUCAGUAACUGGUGUGAGAGCACGACCAGUCACACGGGCACUGAGACACGGGCCCGACUCCUACGGGAGCAGCAGUAAGGAAUAUUGGCAAUGGAGGCAACUCUGAACCAGCCAUGCCGCGUGGAGGAUGAAGGUCCUCUGGAUUGUAAACUUCUUUUAUAUGGACGAAAGAAGGCUUUUCUAAGUCGUCUGACGGUACCAUAUGAAUAAGCACCGGCUAACUCCGUAGCCAGCAGCCG
rnacentral:rRNA from 1 species